rnacentral:misc_RNA from 1 species
GCACGACAAAGCCCUUUAUAUAACCAUCUGAGGCAUGCUCCAACCAAACUGUACUCGCUUAUUCUAUAUAGAUUAGCAAGUAGUGGUAGGAACAUCAAGUUUACUCGCGAUGCAUUCAUAUUGGGAAAUAAUGUACCACCGAUUAUUCUAAGUAUAUAAGCUCUUACUUGUCUUUGUACAAUAAUAUCAUUUUGUGUAGUAAAUGUGCAAACUUUUGACAUUGUCAAUGCAAUUUAAUAGUGUUUUCCUUAAUUAUUUGGGUUGAAGGCAGUAUUCCUAAUAGUUCAUUGCAUAUAAAUUCUAAGUUAAUUCGAAAAUUUACCACAACUUGCUUCAUUGUCAAUCGGUAAACCUGAUAUUAACCUCAUAUCCUAGAGUGUGAUGGUUAUCUCACCCUUAGGCAUCAUAAAUGUGUGCGUAUUUGGGCACCAUCUCUCAACAAGUGUUGUGAUAAGAUGAUGGUUGAGGGCAAAAUCCAAGUCUUGCUAACUACUCGCUCUUAGUAAUGGUUCGAUGUAGUGAUCAAUCUCUUGAUGGUGCAUAAAUGAUCUUACAUGUUUGCAUUUUAAGACGUUUUUCGUGUUCCUGCAGGCACCUGCUCAUACCAAAUCGCCUCUGAUCUAUGACUUCAUUGUUGCCGUAGUACUGACUGAUCAGGUGGCAUGUACUCUCUCAUGUAUAGUCUAGAUGCCAUUUCUACAACUCAACUUAACUCAACUAAGUCUUUAUUCAAAAAAUUUGGGGUAGGCUAUAU